rnacentral:lncRNA from 10 species
CCCGGAAGCCGAUUGCAGGGAGAAACUGUUUUCGCAGCAGUGCGCCUCCCUUUUCCAGCCACCGGUUCUCCUGACCCCGAGUGUGGGGGGUGACUUCAGUCUCCUGACAUCCAGUGUUCUCUCGAGCCAGUUUCCAGCCCACAGAAAAUGAGCUCUUCCGGAAGUGGGCAUCUUAUUCCAAUCCCCUCCCUGUGAAUGUGUGGAGAAAAAGAGAUGGGAACGAGGCAGAGGAAAUAGAGAAAUUUUGAAAGAGAAAUGAAGAAUGAGAGACCCAUUAACAGAAGGCAAAGUAGAAGGUUCACAAAUUUUAAGAAAGGGAGAAUAAAGUGAAAAAAAUCUCAGAAGGAAUCCACUCAACAGACGAGGAUUCACUUCCAAAGAGACAUAUUAUGCAAGGAAGCAACUUGGAAGAGGAAAGAAAAGAAGUCAGGAAUGGCCCUUACUCAGAGUCUCACACGUUGCCCAGGCUGGAGUGCAGUGGCAUGAUCCCUGCUCAUUGCAACCUCCGCCUCCCUGAUUCAAAGGAUUUUUCCACCUCAGCUUCUCAUGUAGCUGAGAUUACAGGGACCCUUGAAAUUCAUGGAUGUGGCCAUAGAGUUCUCUCAGGAAGAGUGGAAAUGCCUGGACCCUGCGCAGAGGACUUUAUACAGGGACGUGAUGUUGGAGAAUUAUAGGAACCUGGUCUCCCUGGGAAUCUGUCUUCCUGACCUGAGUGUUACCUCCAUGUUAGAGCAAAAGAGAGAUCCCUGGACUCUGCAGAGUG